rnacentral:rRNA from 1 species
CCUACGGGAGGCAGCAGUGGGGAAUAUUGGGCAAUGGGCGCAAGCCUGACCCAGCGACGCCGCGUGAAGGAAGAAGUCUUUCGGGUUGUAAACUUCUUUUCUGAGGGACGAAGCAAGUGACGGUACAUCAGGAAUAAGCCGCGGCUAACUACGUUCCAGCAGCCGCGGUAAUACGUAGGUGGCAAGCAUUAGACGGAUUUAGUGGGAGUAAAGGGCGUGUAGGCGGGAAAGACAGUCAGAUGUGAAAACUCAGGGCUCAACCCUGAGCCUGCAUUUGAAACUGUUUUUCUUGAGGGCUGGAGUGGCAAGCGGAAGUCCGGGUGUAGCGGUGAAAUGCGUAGAUAUACGGAGGAACACCAGUGGCGAAGGCGGAUUGCUGGACAGUAACUGACGCUGAGGCGCGAAAGCGUGGGGAGCAAACAGGAUUAGAUACCCCUGUAGUC